AUUGAACGCUGGCGGAAUGCUUUACACAUGCAAGUCGAACGGCAGCACGGACUUCGGUCUGGUGGCGAGUGGCGAACGGGAGAGUAAUACAUCGGAACGUGCCCAGUCGUGGGGGAUAACGUAGCGAAAGCUACGCUAAUACCGCAUACGAUCUAAGGAUGAAAGCGGGGGAUCGCAAGACCUCGCGCGAUUGGAGCGGCCGAUGGCAGAUUAGGUAGUUGGUAGGGGAAAGGCCUACCAAGCCGACGAUCUGUAGCUGGUCUGAGAGGAUGAUCAGCCACACUGGGACUGAGACACGGCCCAGACUCCUACGGGAGGCAGCAGUGGGGAAUUUUGGACAAUGGGCGCAAGCCUGAUCCAGCCAUUCCGCGUGCAGGAUGAAGGCCUUCGGGUUGUAAACUGCUUUUGUACAGAACGAAAAGGCUCUGGUUAAUACCCGGGGCUCAUGACGGUACUGUAAGAAUAAGCACCGGCUAACUACGUGCCAGCCGCCGCAGUAA
rnacentral:rRNA from 1 species